UGGGGAAUAUUGCACAAUGGGCGCAAGCCUGAUGCAGCCAUGCCGCGUGUGUGAAGAAGGCCUUCGGGUUGUAAAGCACUUUCAGCGAGGAGGAAGGUGGUGAGCUUAAUACGCUCAUCAAUUGACGUUACUCGCAGAAGAAGCACCGGCUAACUCCGUGCCAGCAGCCGCGGUAAUACGGAGGGUGCAAGCGUUAAUCGGAAUUACUGGGCGUAAAGCGCACGCAGGCGGUUUGUUAAGUCAGAUGUGAAAUCCCCGGGCUCAACCUGGGAACUGCAUUUGAAACUGGCAGCUAGAGUCUCGUAGAGGGGGGUAGAAUUCCAGGUGUAGCGGUGAAAUGCGUAGAGAUCUGGAGGAAUACCGGUGGCGAAGGCGGCCCCCUGGACGAAGACUGACGCUCAGGUGCGAAAGCGUGGGGCAGCAAACAGGAUUAGAUACCCCUGGUAGUCCAGCGCUGUAAAACGAUGUCGAUUUUGGAGGUUGUGCCCCUUGAGGCGUGGCUUCCGGAGCUAACGCGUU
rnacentral:rRNA from 1 species